GGCGGACGGGUGAGUAACGCGUAGGAAUCUACCUAAUAGAUGGGGGAUAGCCCAGGGAAACUUGGAUUAAUACCGCAUACGCCCUAAGGGGGAAAGCGGGGGAUCUUCGGACCUCGUGCUAUUAGAUGAGCCUGCGUAAGAUUAGCUAGUUGGUGAGGUAAGAGCUCACCAAGGCGACGAUCUUUAGCUGGUCUGAGAGGAUGAUCAGCCACACUGGGACUGAGACACGGCCCAGACUCCUACGGGAGGCAGCAGUGGGGAAUAUUGGACAAUGGGGGCAACCCUGAUCCAGCCAUGCCGCGUGUGUGAAGAAGGCCUUCGGGUUGUAAAGCACUUUCAGAUGUGAGGAAAGGUUGCAGAUUAAUACUCUGCAGUUGUGACGUUAACAUCAGAAGAAGGACCGGCUAACUCCGUGCCAGCAGCCGCGGUAAUACGGAGGGUCCGAGCGUUAAUCGGAAUUACUGGGCGUAAAGCGCGC
rnacentral:rRNA from 1 species